rnacentral:rRNA from 1 species
AACUGCUUUUGUAUGGGGAUAAAGUCAAUCACGUGUGAUUGUUUGCAGGUACCAUACGAAUAAGGACCGGCUAAUUCCGUGCCAGCAGCCGCGGUAAUACGGAAGGUCCGGGCGUUAUCCGGAUUUAUUGGGUUUAAAGGGAGCGUAGGCUGGAGAUUAAGUGUGUUGUGAAAUGUAGACGCUCAACGUCUGACUUGCAGCGCAUACUGGUUUCCUUGAGUACGCACAACGUUGGCGGAAUUCGUCGUGUAGCGGUGAAAUGCUUAGAUAUGACGAAGAACUCCGAUUGCGAAGGCAGCUGACGGGAGCGCAACUGACGCUGAAGCUCGAAGGUGCGGGUAUCGAACAGGAUUAGAUACCCUGGUAGUCC